UACGUAGGGUGCGAGCGUUAAUCGGAAUUACUGGGCGUAAAGCGUGCGCAGGCGGUGAUGUAAGACAGGUGUGAAAUCCCCGGGCUUAACCUGGGAGCUGCACUUGUGACUGCACAGCUGGAGUACGGCAGAGGGGGAUGGAAUUCCGCGUGUAGCAGUGAAAUGCGUAGAUAUGCGGAGGAACACCGAUGGCGAAGGCAGUCCCUGGGCCUGUACUGACGCUCCAUGCACGAAAGCGUGGGGAGCAAACAGGA
rnacentral:rRNA from 1 species